AUGGGUUAUUUUAUUAUUUAUUAAAUAUGUAUUUUGAUUGUAUUUUAUUGGCAGCGCAAUCAACCAGAACACAGUGAACCUAGAAAUCACAUCCACUUUCCUAUGUCCAAAAGUCCUUCCCAGGGAGGUGACAAAAAGACAGUCCUUGUUAGAAUUGAGGAUCCAGGGAGAACAAGACCGGCCGGGCAGAAGGGUUUUUAUUUGGAACCUGGAGGAUAAGCAAUAACCUCUCUCCACCCUGAAGCAGAGCCCCAGCACCCACCUCCUGGGUGCAAGGGCAACAUGCUCCAUGCUCUCCCUGUCCCAGAUCAAAUACAGCCCUGAGAUCUGCCCAUCUUUCCUACCUGGGAUUUCUGCAUUGAACACCACCCUGAGUCAACUUUCCUGCAAAGCAGAAAAACAUGAAGUUGGACCAUGUUGGAGGAAGAAUGGUGUCAUCUUCGCCUCUGGAGAGAUCUCUGUCACUGUGUUUGGAAAAGGACCAACCUCACUCCCCAUGCAGAGAGGAGGCUCCGGCUGUGAUCUGGCCUGUGGAGAGGAAAUAAAUGCCCAUGACUCAAAUAUAAAGAGGAGAAUCUCCAACAACAGCAUUCAGCUUGGGAGCUGACACCAGAACAGCUUUGGAAAUGGCUGUCGAGCCAGGAACUAGGAAUCAAACCCAAACAGAAUCACAGGAGGUAGAAUUUAUUCAAGAGCCGCCAAAGACUAUCAGUGGGAAGACAAAAAGAAAUGAACUGAGGAAGAAAGAAUGUUUCUAUGAAUUUGCCUAUUCUUUGUAAGUGAAAUCACAUAUUUGUCCUUUGGUUUCUGGCUUAUU